AGCGACGGAACACAAGACGCUGAGAGCCGACGAUCCGUAGGCGUGGGUUAAGUGACAGCGCUCACGCGUUCCCUCGUUGGCGACCGAUCCUUUAACGCAGCGACGAUGCGAAGCUGUCCCACGCUUCGCUUCCCGGCUCGUCCAGAUAACGGCUUCUUCGAGUGUCACGCUGAACAGGAUGAAGAAAGGGGCAAUUCGAUAGGCGAAUCGCUGCGGCAGUCGCCGUUCCCACGGAGCGCCGCGGCCUUCAUCCGAAAGUGGCCUCCAGAAGUCCGGCGGCGAUGCGACUAUAGGUCGAAACUCUGCCAAAUGGCCGUACCUGUGAGCGAACUGAUUUUGCGAAGUUUGGCGCUUCAGUAGCACAUCAUCGAACGGUAAAUUGACUGUGACGCGACCCAAGACUGCCACAAUUAAGUUUCCUCUUCAAGGUCACCGUGUUGGUGUCUCGUUGCGCCGGCUGAGCAUCAAGAUCACGCAGCGGUCACUGACGUAAGCUUACAGAUGCGGCACUUAUUUGUACGCUAACACUAGCACACACACAUUCACUUACGCACGAACAAAAUUCAGAUCUUCGUGAUGGUUGACAGCCGUGGCUCACUCCUAGCCGGCCAGCGGUUCGGACGAAUGGGAGAGUUUGGGCGACGCCACAGCGGAGACCCUCAGCUGCACUCUCAGGCUUACGGACAGGCCACGCUGGCUUCCUGCUGAGCUGUGACGUGCCAAUGAGCCUUCGAAAACCUUGCUCGAGGUGGUGAACGGAGCCAUCGAAAUCCUCGAAGCGACGGUGCCUCGCACUGCGAAGACACUGGGGUUGUUUUGCGUUCCAGCUCGUCCCGUCCGCUUCUGCGUAGCCGCGACUUGCAGAUACGUCGCCGUAUCCGUAGGUAAGCCCGAGCGAAGCUAAUGUCGCUGCUUGGCGAGCUCCUUCGUUAUCGGGGAUACGACGGGCACUCACAAGUUGACCGA
rnacentral:lncRNA from 1 species